AUCAUAACAGAUAGUUACACCCAACAAUUUGAAAAUUGCUGGUUAUAAAAAAUUGAAUCUCAUGUUUACUUUGAAAUCCAAACUAAAGGUUGGGUUGACAGUGUAAUGUUUUAAAGCAUGGAAUUUGAUUUGCAUUUGCAUUGACCUCCCUGUAUUAUAAAUUUAAUAAGAGGGUGAACACUUGAACUUAGAUAGGAACUCAUAAUUGAGUGUGAAAAAG
rnacentral:misc_RNA from 1 species